CAAGGGAAUGUAAAAAUACACAUGUCUCUGAUCUUCUGCCCAAACAUCUGCUUGUUUGUUGCUUUCUGUUUGUGGUCGACAGAAGGGUUUCUCUCUGAAGUUAUCACUUGUUCAACUGUCAGUAUCAUGAGACCCCUCAUCCUUAUGAAAACCUCUUCAUAUCUCAACAGUUUACCAAAGCUCUUGCGAAAAGCAGUGACAGUGUUGGCUUUUCCCGUUUAUCAUUUAAGUUUAACAAUGGGAGCAUGUUUAUUUUUUCUUGGUGCCCGGAUAAAGACAAGAGAAGCAGAACUUGAUGCAGGACUAAUAGGAUUAACAGUGAUGUUCGUCAUUGGUGCUGUUGUGUUGGCUGCCCGUGGCCCCCGGAUACAUCUGAUUGUGUGUCUAGAAGCAGUGAAUUCUCUACUGCUUUCUUUCAGUGUCAGGAGCAGGGUAAACCCUUUGGCCCUCAACUCUGAGAUGGCUAUGGUAUUACCAUCUCUAAAUGUGGGAAUAUUGUUGGUUCUCUCUCUGCAACAGCACUUUUUUCUAGGAAAACCUUUUAAAGGUGUGCAUAUCGCUGUUCCAUCCAUUCUUAUGACUAUAUUCACCCUCUAUGAAAUUGGCGUCUAUAUAUAUUUUUAUAUUGCAGCAAAAAAAUUUG